GUUACUUAAUAUAAAGUCUGACCUGCCCACUGAAAUUAUUUUGAAGGGCCGCAGUAUUUUGACUGUGCAAAGGUAGCAUAAUCAUUAGUCUUUUAAUUGAAGGCUGGUAUGAAUGGUUGGAUGAGGUACAAGCUGUGUCAUAAAAAUUAAUAUUUGAAUUUACCUUUUUAGUCAAAAGGCUAAAAUAAAAUUAAAAGACGAGAAGACCCUAUAGAGUUUUAUAUAUUUUAUAUUUAAAUUAUUAAGAUUUUUUAAAUUUAAUUAUUUUAUUAUAUUUUGUUGGGGUGACAAUAAAAUUUAUAAAACUUUUAUUAUUAUUAUACAUUUAUUUAUGAUUAUAUGAUCCAGUUUUAUUGAUUAUAAAUUUAAGUUACCUUAGGGAUAACAGCGUAAUUUUUUUUGAGAGUUCUUAUCGACAAAAAAGAUUGCGACCUCGAUGUUGGAUUAAGAGUAAUUUUGGGUGUAGAAGUUCAAAGUUUAAGUCUGUUCGACUUUUAAAUUCUUACAUGAUC
rnacentral:rRNA from 1 species